rnacentral:rRNA from 1 species
AGGAAUAUUGGUCAAUGGACGAGAGUCUGAACCAGCCAAGUAGCGUGAAGGAUGACUGCCCUAUGGGUUGUAAACUUCUUUUAUACGGGAAUAAAGUGAGGCACGUGUGCCUUUUUGUAUGUACCGUAUGAAUAAGGAUCGGCUAACUCCGUGCCAGCAGCCGCGGUAAUACGGAGGAUCCGAGCGUUAUCCGGAUUUAUUGGGUUUAAAGGGAGCGCAGGCGGACGCUUAAGUCAGUUGUGAAAGUUUGCGGCUCAACCGUAAAAUUGCAGUUGAUACUGGGUGUCUUGAGUACAGUAGAGGCAGGCGGAAUUCGUGGUGUAGCGGUGAAAUGCUUAGAUAUCACGAAGAACUCCGAUUGCGAAGGCAGCUUACCGGAGCGCAACUGACGCUGAGGCUCGAAAGCGCGGGUAUCGAACAGGAUUAGAUACCCUGGUAGUCCGCGCGGUAAACGAUGGGUGCCCGCCGUUGGGAUUUAGAUUUCAGCGGCCAAGCGAAAGCGUUAAGCAUCCCACCUGGGGAGUACGCCGGCAACGGUGAAACUCAAAGGAAUUGACGGGGGCCCGCACAAGCGGAGGAACAUGUGGUUUAAUUCGAUGAUACGCGAGGAACCUUACCCGGGCUUAAAUUGCAGCGGAAUGUAGUGGAAACAUUACAGCCUUCGGGCCGCUGUGAAGGUGCUGCAUGGUUGUCGUCAGCUCGUGCCGUGAGGUGUCGGCUUAAGUGCCAUAACGAGCGCAACCCUUAUCUAUAGUUACUAUCAGGUCAUGCUGAGGACUCUAUGGAGACUGCCGUCGUAAGAUGUGAGGAAGGUGGGGAUGACGUCAAAUCAGCACGGCCCUUACGUCCGGGGCUACACACGUGUUACAAUGGGGGGUACAGAAGGCAGCUACCUGGCGACAGGAUGCUAAUCCCUAAAACCUCUCUCAGUUCGGAUUGGAGUCUGCAACCCGACUCCAUGAAGCUGGAUUCGCUAGUAAUCGCGCAUCAGCCACGGCGCGGUGAAUACGUUCCCG